CGCAGCGCGCUCAGCUCCCGCGCCCUCCGCCCCACGCCUCCCGGGCGCAGAGGCUACGCCGGCAGCCGUCUCUUAGGAGAUUUCUCCGCAGUGGGGACGGGGGUCAGGAUUUGCAGGCGAGCAAGGACAGAGAGGAGAAAUCGCACAGACUGUCAGCACAGAGCCUGACACAGGGCUUGAACCCACAAACCACGAGAUCAUGACCUGAGCCGAAGUCAGACACUUAACCAACUGAGCCAACCAGGCGCCCCAUGAGGAAGCAUGAAUUUUUGGUGGCAUCUACCUCUCUCUGCCCCACUACAGUGUACCAGUGGAAUCAAGCAUAAUGGCAAGCCCAUAGUAGGCACUCAAUCACGGGUGGACCUUCAGCAGCCCUUUCCUCCACCAGCUAGUCCCCACCUUGCAUGCUAUCCUCUCCCCAUGCUCUUUUCCUUACC